UACGUAGGUGGCAAGCGUUGUCCGGAUUUACUGGGCGUAAAGAGCGCGCAGGCGGUCGUUCAAGUCGCGUGUGAAAGCCCCCGGCUCAACUGGGGAGGGUCACGCGAUACUGAUCGACUCGAAGGCAGGAGAGGGUAGUGGAAUUCCCGGUGUAGUGGUGAAAUGCGUAGAUAUCGGGAGGAACACCAGUGGCGAAGGCGACUACCUGGCCUGUUACCGACGCUCAGGCGCGACAGCGUGGGGAGCAAACAGG
rnacentral:rRNA from 1 species